CGUUGCAAACUGGAGAUGGCGACCGGCGCACGGUGAGUAACACGUAUCCAACCUGCCGAUAACUCGGGGAUAGCCUUUCGAAAGAAAGAUUAAUACCCGAUGGCAUAAUAGAACCGCAUGGUUUGAUUAUUAAAGAAUUUCGGUUAUCGAUGGGGAUGCGUUCCAUUAGGCAGUUGGUGGGGUAACGGCCCACCAAACCUUCGAUGGAUAGGGGUUCUGAGAGGAAGGUCCCCCACAUUGGAACUGAGACACGGUCCAAACUCCUACGGGAGGCAGCAUG
rnacentral:rRNA from 1 species